GUGGGCUUAAACCUCAUGUGCUCGUUGUUUCGUCAGUCUGUCAGUUAGGUGUUCGGUUUUUCCUCUCCACUUAAGCAGUCAAUAAUAGCUAGUUAGCUGAGUAGAUAAGGUAGUUAGGGUAGCUAGUUUUUCUCCCGUAGACAAGGUCUAACGCCCGCAUGAACUGGAUCGUGGGAUGGCGCGGUCGUGGUGGUUGUAGCGGGCGAAUAGCUCGGGCCGUUGGUGGCUCUGCGUGUGUGUGUUUGUAACAGAAUAAGAGCAGAAGAUAUACAGGGAAAA
rnacentral:lncRNA from 1 species